rnacentral:rRNA from 1 species
GGAGCGUUCUGUAAGCCUGCGAAGGUGUGCUGUGAGGCAUGCUGGAGGUAUCAGAAGUGCGAAUGCUGACAUAAGUAACGAUAAAGCGGGUGAAAAGCCCGCUCGCCGGAAGACCAAGGGUUCCUGUCCAACGUUAAUCGGGGCAGGGUGAGUCGACCCCUAAGGCGAGGCCGAAAGGCGUAGUCGAUGGGAAACAGGUUAAUAUUCCUGUACUUGGUGUUACUGCGAAGGGGGGACGGAGAAGGCUAUGUUGGCCGGGCGACGGUUGUCCCGGUUUAAGCGUGUAGGCUGGUUUUCCAGGCAAAUCCGGAAAAUCAAGGCUGAGGCGUGAUGACGAGGCACUACGGUGCUGAAGCAACAAAUGCCCUGCUUCCAGGAAAAGCCUCUAAGCAUCAGGUAACAUCAAAUCGUACCCCAAACCGACACAGGUGGUCAGGUAGAGAAUACCAAGGCGCUUGAGAGAACUCGGGUGAAGGAACUAGGCAAAAUGGUGCCGUAACUUCGGGAGAAGGCACGCUGAUAUGUAGGUGAAGUCCCUUGCGGAUGGAGCUGAAAUCAGUCGAAGAUACCAGCUGGCUGCAACUGUUUAUUAAAAACACAGC